rnacentral:misc_RNA from 1 species
GAUGAAGAACGUAGCGAAAUGCGAUAAGUAAUGUGAAUUGCAGAAUUCAGCGAAUCAUCGAGUCUUUGAACGCACAUUGCGCCCCCUGGUAUUCCGGGGGGCAUGCCUGUCCGAGCGUCAUUGCCGCCCUCAAGCACGGCUUGUGUGUUGGGCCCCCGCCCCCCGGCUUCGGGGGGCGGGCCCGAAAGGCAGCGGCGGCACCGCGUCCGGUCCUCGAGCGUAUGGGGCUUCGUCACCCGCUCUGUAGGCCCGGCCGGCGCCCGCCGGCGACCCCAAUCAAUCUUUCCAGGUUGACCUCGGAUCAGGUAGGGAUACCCGCUGAACUUAAGCAUAUCAAUAAGCGGAGGA